CAGAGAGAAAAACACUUACCGAGUUGUUUGCCGCUGGGACUGAAGUCCACGGAGGUGAUCGCAGCUUUGUGGCCCUUAAAAUAUCGCUCCAGAACGGGGUCCUCCUGGGAAGGAAAGUUGUCAAGUUUUGCCGGCAGCAGUCACCGGGAUGGAAAUGAGACCGAGGGGAGGAAGCGAGACGAGUCUGUGAUCGAUGCAAUCGGAGUUCUGCUGCACGUUAAAGAGACAGCACCCACGAAUUUGAAGAGGGUCCGCAACUGCUUAAUGACCGGAGAGAGAGAGAGCAAAGGCAGGCAGAGUGGCAGAGAGAGAAGC